rnacentral:rRNA from 1 species
AUUGAACGCUGGCGGCAGGCUUAACACAUGCAAGUCGAGCGAGCGGCGGACGGGUGAGUAAUGUCUGGGAAACUGCCUGGGGGAGGGGGAUAACUACUGGAAACGGUAGCUACUACCGCAUACCAUCAGAUGUGCCCAGAUGGGAUUAGCUAGUGGGUGGGGUAAAGGCUCACCUAGGCGACGAGCCCUAGCUGGUCUGGGAGGAGUACCAGCCACCUGGGAACUGAGACACGGUCCAGACUCCUACGGGAGGCAGCAGUGGGGAAUAUUGCACAAGGGGCGAAAGCCUGAUGCAGCAAUGCCGCGUGUGGGAAGAAGGCCUUCGGGUUGUAAAGCCCUUUCAGCGAGGAGGCGUUACUCGCAGAAGAAGCACCGGCUAACUCCGUGCCAGCAGCCGCGGUAAUUC